CAUAAUUGUUAGAUAAGAGGCCCCAAUCUGCACAAUUAACCUCUUCAGCCCAAACCUUCACUAACCAUGGCGAAUUGCUUUUUUUACUCAACAGAGACGAUGACCGAUAAAGAAUUCAAUUAAUCACUCCAUUACGAGUUUAUUAAUCCUCUUUAUUUGCCUCUCCACACCCUCUUCAGCCGGCAAUUUACCUACCUCUUAUCAGUUAUCACCCUUCAAAAUUCCCCAAUUUCUGAUCGAAUUUGUUCGAUUCGUUACGUUUCAGUGGUGGGUUUUGAUUCUUUCGUUGAUCUGAUUGGUGACAAAUCUUGAUACUUACAGAGAAGUUAGGCUGUUCUGGAAGGCGAUACAUUCGUUUGGCGGGCUGCUUCAGGAGCUCUUCCGACUAGAGAAGCUUUGGUAAGACGAGGCGUGUUUUUAUCCGACUGUGGAAGUAAUUUAGAAUUGGUGGACCUCAACCUUCUCUUAUGUCGUUUAGCUAGAGAGGUUUGGAUGCAAAUCGGAGCUUGCCUGCAGUUAUCGAUUCCAACAGAUAUCGGGUCAGUUCCAAACAUAAGGCAUUGGAAGCGGUGGUGAUGUUAACGUGUUGGACACUUUGGAUGGGGGCAGAACGAAAAGGUUUUAAAUGGAACUACCACUUGUCUUUAAAUGGUUCAGGAGGUUAAGGACACUUCUUUCUGGUGAUCCAUCACAGAUCUAAGUGGAAGAGUAUUGGAGCAAUAACUUUGUUGGGUGGUUUUGUUUGGUUUUUGGUGCUUGGUUGUUGUACUCUCUGUUUGUGUCUCUUAGCUUCUUGCUAAGGGUUGACAAGUUUGUUGAAUGCUAGUCGCCUCCUAUUGGCGUUCAGA